ensembl:lncRNA
GACAAAGAACUGCACAGAUACAGAUUCUGUUUGUUUCUGUUUGAGUCCACUUGCGCUGCGGUCUGCGGAUUGCUCAGGCAUUUAAAAGGCACCGAAAUCUGCAUUCUGAUUCGGUUCGGUUCAUACCGGUUACAUGGGUACAGGGCCAUAUUGGCACCGGGUUUCCGUUCCCAACCCAAGUAAUUAUAUAAUAAUAUUUCUGAGGUCAUGUGUAGAUGCCACUCAUUGAAUUAAACGUGCAAAAUGUAGCCAGUACUAAGCUAGUAUUCACUUCCCAGUAUUGCCAGCUUCUUCCUGAUUUCUCCAACUUUACAUGCACAAAUAUUUUUGCAUCCCCACAAUCUGAUUCUGUCGUGUUUCCAUUCCAGAAACCUUCAACCCAGAGCCCUUUGGGCUUUUCUUCAGUCUCGUCCAGAGAGCAGUGGAGUGGCAUGGAGGACACCAAAAGCCCCGUGAGGGUGGUCAAAAUGUCCCGCUCGAGCGGGGGCAAGACACCGUCCUCCAAACCCCAGCGAGAGAGCGCCAAAGUCCCAAGCCGAAGCAAGGACGCCGUCCCCAGGGUGAAAGAGGAGAUCCAGGGCGGCCCCAGUGAUUUCAGGACCCGCACCGGCAGCCCUCAGGAGCCGGGGAAGGGCAGAGCCCGGCGGCUGACGGGCAGAACUAACUCUGGCGAGAGGGGGAAGGGGAAGCCCCAGCCGAGUGAAGGCCGUCAGCAAAACCAGGAGAACAAAACUCCAGUUCGAAACAGUGGACCGAUCAAGGAUGGACUGACCAGCACAGCAGAGGAGAUCUCAACACAUGACAACACCAUCACCGCUAAAGACAAGAUACCCGGUAGACCUGGAUCAGCUGAUGCAAGCUUGAAUCACGUGACCUGCCAGAACUAACGCCACGCUUGAUUUUUCUGUCCAGAUGUUAUUUUUAAGUGAGUAAAUUUAAUAUUGUGUGAAAUAAUUUAAUCUCUGCAGUUGUGUCUAUUUUAUUAUUAUUUAAUAAUUUAAUUAAUAUAUACGACCUGCAUAGUUGAAAUUAUUUUAUAUAUAUAUAUACACACAC